rnacentral:rRNA from 1 species
UACGAAGGGGGCUAGCGUUGCUCGGAAUCACUGGGCGUAAAGCGCACGUAGGCGGAUUGUUAAGUCAGGGGUGAAAUCCUGGAGCUCAACUCCAGAACUGCCUUUGAUACUGGCGAUCUCGAGUCCGGGAGAGGUGAGUGGAACUGCGAGUGUAGAGGUGAAAUUCGUAGAUAUUCGCAAGAACACCAGUGGCGAAGGCGGCUCACUGGCCCGGUACUGACGCUGAGGCACGAAAGCGUGGGAGCAACAGGG